rnacentral:rRNA from 1 species
GAUGAACGCUGGCGGCGUGCCUAAUACAUGCAAGUCGAGCGAACGGACCAGCAGCUUGCUUCUCUGAUUUUAGCGGCGGACGGGUGAGUAACACUUGGAUAACCUACCUAUACGACUGGGUUAACUUCGGGAUACCGGAGCUAAUACCGGAUCCUAUUUUUAUCCGCAUGGUUCAAAUGUGAAAGACGGUCUUGCUGUCACUUAUAGAUGGAUCCGCGCUGCAUUAGCUAGUUGGUAAGGUAACGGCUUACCAAGGCAACGAUGCAUAGCCGACCUGAGAGGGGGAGAGGCCACACUGGAACGGAGCUACGGUACAGACCAAUACGGGAGGCAGCAGUAGGGAAAGGGCAGCAAGGGGAGAAAGCAUGACCGAGCAAAGCCGCGUGAGGGAUGAAGGUUCGCGGAUCGUAAAACUCUGUUAUUAGGGAAGAACAUAUGUGUAAGUAACUGUGCACAUCUUGAAGGUACCUAAUCAGAAAGCCACGGCUAACUACGUG